rnacentral:rRNA from 1 species
GACGAACCGUGCGAACGUUGUUCGGAUUCACUGGGCUUAAAGGGCGCGUAGGCGGGCCACCAAGUCGGGGGUGAAAUCCCUCAGCUCAACUGAGGAACUGCCUUCGAUACUGGGGGCCUCGAGGGAGGUAGGGGCGGCCGGAACUUCCGGUGGAGCGGUGAAAUGCGUAGAUAUCGGAAGGAACGCCGGUGGCGAAAGCGGGCCGCUGGACCUCAUCUGACGCUGAGGCGCGAAAGCCAGGGGAGCAAACGGG